AGGGUGGAAGCAGCGUCGCCCUCUCCUCUAACUCGAGUUCCAUCUCUGAAAAAGUGUUAAAUAAUUUCUUUAAGUACAUAAAGCGGAUUUUUAUUUACUUGUGAUUUAUAAAAGUGAAUUACUUUUUUAUUCGUAUUUUAAACUUAAUGAGAAAUUAACUAUAGCGAAAAUGGACUUAUAAAAUAUAUUGACUUUUUUUUGAACGAAUAUUUUCAUCUACCACGAAUAGAAUUAUCGACUUGUGAUGUUAAAUUUGUGAGAGAAGAUGACCCCACGUACCUUUACCUCGCUGGUCAACCUCUUGACCUCUCUCGUGUUAGUUGUGACGUCAUCAGUACCAACCGUGACGGACACAGGUCAAAGGUCAACCCCUGAUGAGAGCACUGGACACCAUCAUCAUCAUGGCGUACCAGAACACACAUACACCCAUAGAGACGGUCCUCGGGUGGACAUGGCGCAUUCAGGAAACGUGUCUUCAGUGCUGGGAAGGACAGCCUCUCUCCGUUGCCGUGUCCUUCAUCGUGGCAACAAGACGGU